AGUACUAGACUGACAUAAUAGACACAGUGACACUAGACAUCAGUACUCUUCUUCUUUGUACAACUAUAUCAAGAAGGGUUGGCCCUUACUAAAGAAGAAGAAGAAGAAGAAGAAGAAGAAGAAGAAGAAGAAGAAGAAGAAGAAGAAGAAGGAGGGUUGGUCCGGCCACAAAACACUCUAGCCCUUAUUUGCACCUGCACGGCUGCACCCACACCGUCGUACACUCUUCCUCCAAAUCUCAGCAACUACUAGGUGACGUAGCACCAGGUGGACAUGGACAUGGACAUGAUGAGCCUAUGUUUGCCGCAGACGCUGCUUGUUCUGAAGAAACAGCUUCUGACCACAUUUCCUCGAGAGUCUUUGGAGGCGGCUUGAACUUAAGCCCGAUGUGAGCGAUCAGGACACCAAAUGUGACGCAGGUCCACCAAGUCGUGAAGUCCGGCGGCAGCACCCUACGCGGGGGCGGCGGCGGCGGACCGUGGACCUGCUGCGCACGCGUCUGGGCGCGCCGAGCCACUGAAAGCGCUCCUCCUUUCUUCCCGGAGUUGCAGUCGCACCAUCGUCGCCGGCGGGCGUCCAACGCCGCACGCCGAACAACCGACCGCAGCACGGGAUGCAUAGUUCGUCACUCCUUCUUGGAUCGAUCCGAUUCUUCAGAACAACGGGAUAUCAGCAUCUCAAACAGUUGAGUGCGAAGCAUCAGGCAAUGGAGGUGACGGUGCGGGUGCUUGCUGCCGUGGCCGAGACGACCACGCCGUCGAGAGUACGAGACGAGUAAUGCCAAGGCCGCCAAGGUGCUGCGGUGCUGCCCCUCCAUCUAAUGAUGAUAAUCACAGCUCCAUCUCCAUUUGCAUCCUCCUCAUGUUUGAUGGUGGGGAAGAUGAGAGUGGCCACCUUUGCAGAGCAAUGAGCGUGCUACCACCACCGUAGCCUGGAGGAGCAUAUAUACCAAGCUGAGGAAAAAUGCCAAGUGUUGGUUUGCUUUGAAUGGAGAGGAGAUCGAGAUGAGUUAUUUACAUCGUGACUCGCCCCUGAAAAACAGACUACACUUUCAGCUAGUGUUCUGGCCAAUGAUGGUCUAUUCCAGCUGCGUGAAAAAAAGGAACAGCACUUUCAGCA